rnacentral:sRNA from 1 species
UCGUCGACCUGCUGCGGGCAGAUGAAAUGGAUGUGCACGUCGAGCCCGCCGGCGGUCAGGAUCUUGCCCUCGCCGGCCAGAGCCUCGGUGCCCGGGCCGAUCACGAUGUCGACGCCGGGCUGGACGUCCGGAUUGCCGGCCUUGCCGAUACCGACGAUGCGGCCGUCGCGCACCCCGAUGUCGGCCUUGAACACGCCAGUAUGGUCGAGAACCGUGGCGUUGGUGAUCACCAGAUCGACCGCACCGUCGGCCCGGCUCGCCUGGCUCUGUCCCAUGCCGUCGCGG